rnacentral:lncRNA from 1 species
UCUAUUACCAUUCCCAUUAGCUUUGUAUUUCAUGUGGCUAAUGAAGAAUGUAAAUACAUAUCUCUAGUAUUAUGGCAUGUGAAUUUAGUUUCCUGAAGAUUUGGGUUGUCUAUGGUGGAUUGAGGUUUAUAUUUCCCUAACUUGGGUUUAGUGUUUAAUGUCAAGUGUUCUAUUACCAGCUCCAUUAGCUUUGUAUUUCAUGUUGCUCAUGAGAAAUAUAAAUACAUGUCUCCAGUAUUAUGGCAUGUGGAUUUAUUUUCACAAAGAUUUGGGUUGCUUAUGUAUUGGGGUUUAUAUUUCUCUAACUUGGGUUUAAUGUUUACUAUCAAGUGUUUUUUUACCAUUCCCAUUACCUUUGUAUUUCAUGUGGCUCAUGAGGAAUAUAAAUACAUGUCUCGAGUAUUAUGGCAGGUGGAUUAAAUUUCCUGAAAAUUUG